GAUGAACGCUGGCGGCGUGCCUAAUACAUGCAAGUCGAGCGAACAGACGAGGAGCUUACUCCUCUGACGUUAGCGGCGGACGGGUGAGUAACACGUGGAUAACCUACCUAUAAGACUGGGAUAACUUCGGGAAACCAGAGCUAAUACCGGAUAACAUGUUGAACCGCAUGGUUCAACAGUGAAAGACGGUCUUGCUGUCACUUAUAGAUGGAUCCGCGUCGCAUUAGCUAGUUGGUAAGGUAACGGCUUACCAAGGCAACGAUGCGUAGCCGGCCUGAGAGGGUGAUCGGCCACACUGGAACUGAGACACGGUCCAGACUCCUACGGGAGGCAGCAGUAGGGAAUCUUCCGCAAUGGGCGAAAGCCUGACGGAGCAACGCCGCGUGAGUGAAGAAGGUCUUCGGAUCGUAAAACUCUGUUAUUAGGGAAGAACAAAUGUGUAAGUAACUAUGCACGUCUUGACGGUACCUAAUCAGAAAGCCACGGCUAACUACGUG
rnacentral:rRNA from 1 species